CCUACGGGUGGCAGCAGUGGGGAAUAUUGCACAAUGGGCGAAACCCUGAUGCAGCGACGCCGCGUGAGUGAAGAAGUACUUCGGUAUGUAAAGCUCUAUCAGCAGGGAAGAAAAUGACGGUACCUGAAUAAGAAGCCCUGGCUAACUACGUGCCAGCAGCCGCGGUAAUACGGAGGGGGCAAGCGUUAUCCGGAUUUACUGGGUGUAAAGGGAGCGUAGGCGGCAGCACAAGUCUGGAGUGAAAUGCCCGGGCUUAACCCCGGAACUGCAUUGGAAACUGGGCGGCUGGAGUGCAGGAGAGGGAGGUGGAAUUCCUGGUGUAGCGGUGAAAUGCGUAGAUAUUAGGAGGAACACCGGUGGCGAAGGCGGCUUACUGGACUGUAACUGACGUUGAGGCUCGAAAGCGUGGGGAGCAAACAGGAUUAGAUACCCCAGUAGUC
rnacentral:rRNA from 1 species